rnacentral:lncRNA from 1 species
GCUAAAGAGGUACUACACAGGGGGUAACGUCAACUUGGAGGAGAUGCUCAAUGACUUCUGGGCUCGGCUCCUGGAGCGGAUGUUCCAGCUGAUAAACCCCCAGUAUCACUUCAGCGAGGACUAUCUGGAAUGCGUAAGCAAGUACACAGACCAGCUGAAGCCUUUUGGAGAUGUGCCACGGAAACUGAAGAUUCAGGUCACCCGCGCCUUCAUUGCGGCUCGCACCUUCGUCCAGGGCCUGACUGUGGGCAGAGAAGUUGCCAACCGAGUUUCCAAGGUAACGGAGAGCAUGCUGCCUCUCUACUUGUUCUUCUUUUCCUUAAGAAAUUAGGUUUAUAAAACAAAUUAAGGCAAAAAUUCAAUACCCAGUGGUGUCUGUUCUUAAAGGCAUUAAGUGCGCCCCCAAGCUUAAUUCUGAUUUUUCCCCCUUUGUAAAAGAAAAGGAAUUCCAAGCCAUUCCGUAUGGUUUGGCAAUCUUCAAUGUAGGUGAGUUUUCAUGGAUGAUACUAUUUAAGCAAGAUGGCUUACAACUGGUCUCACCACAUCCAGGUGUAGAGGAUGAUAAGCAGUUACAGGACGCUCCACUCGGGCUCUAGUCCUCCAGUAAACAAAGGACAUGUUCUCCAGAGAUGCUGAAGGGAGACACAGGAUAGGGGCACUUGCUGUCUCAUCUUUAUCAGUGUUAGGGCUCCUCAAUGGUGCGAAUGGAGCCCUUGCUUGGCACGGGUGGAGGGAGGAGAAGCACCUUAGGACCG